GUAGCAGAAAGCUGUUGGAUCCUACCACGGAGUUACUGACUUCUUAGCUACAGACUGCAUAGCAAUCAGCGAGGGGGAGAGGGAGCCAGGGAACGGGAGCAGGGAGAGGCGGUGCAGAGAUUUUGGGGUGAGAGCAGGGAGGUGCAGGGAGAGGAAGGAAGGGCAGAGGGGACGAGGCAGGAGGGGGAGAGCAGAACCAUCGCUGAGAGCUUGUGGGAUGGACGGGAGCGAAGCACGCUGAGCGGAGGAGGAGAGGAGCUGGGCACGGUGAGCUGGGGCUCCUCAGGAAUCCAGCAACCCCGGAGCUGCAGAGAACCCACUGGGUGAGCCCAGGAGCUCUGGGGCAUGAUGGAGACACCGACUGCUGACCCCAUCCUUUGACUCUGGCUCCCAGGCGGCCCCGGCGCGAUGCGGCACAUGCUCAGGAGCAAUGGUGAUGAUGGCAUGGGUCUCAGCUUGUCAGAGGUGAAAGCUAGAGCUGCCAGGUCCCACAUGAGCACGGCUGCAUGAGAUCCCACGCUCGCCCAGCUCCUGUGGCCCCCAACACCUGAUGAUACAGCAAGCCAUGGGCAGCGUCCGAGUCAACCGGUACAGCAUUGUCUCGACUGAGGAGGAUGGACACAAGGUCUCUGCGCUGGGCAGCAUGAACGGGCACAGCCGGAACGGGAAGGGCCACACACCCCGGCGGAAGCACCGUAACCGCUUUGUGAAGAAGAAUGGCCAAUGCAAUGUCUACUUCGCCAACCUGAGCAACAAGUCUCAGCGCUACAUGGCUGACAUCUUCACCACCUGUGUGGACACGCGCUGGCGGUACAUGCUGAUGAUCUUCUCCGCCGCCUUCCUGGUCUCUUGGCUCUUCUUUGGUUUCCUCUUCUGGUGCAUUGCUUUCUUCCACGGUGACCUCAACGCACCGGUGGUGGGGGGCAGUCCCUCUCUCCUCAAGCCUUGCAUCAUGCACGUGAACAGCUUUCUAGGGGCUUUCCUCUUCUCAGUGGAGACGCAGACAACCAUUGGGUAUGGCUUCCGCUGCGUGACUGAGGAGUGUCCGCUGGCCAUCAUGGCUGUGGUGGUCCAGUCCAUUGUGGGCUGUGUUAUUGACUCCUUCAUGAUUGGCACCAUCAUGGCCAAGAUGGCGAGGCCCAAGAAGCGGGCCCAGACCCUCCUCUUCAGUCACCAUGCGGUCAUCUCGGUGCGGGAUGGCAAACUGUGCCUCAUGUGGCGAGUGGGCAACCUGAGGAGGAGCCACAUCGUGGAGGCCCACGUUCGUGCCCAGCUCAUCAAACCCUACAUGACAGAGGAAGGGGAGUACCUCCCCCUGGACCAGCGGGACCUCAAUGUAGGCUAUGAUGUGGGUCUCGAUCGUAUAUUUUUGGUCUCACCCAUUAUUAUUGUUCAUGAGAUUGAUGAGGAGAGCCCACUCUAUGGGAUUGGCAAGGAGGAGCUGGAGACGGAGAACUUUGAGAUCGUUGUUAUCCUGGAAGGGAUGGUGGAAGCCACGGCCAUGACCACACAGGCACGGAGCUCUUACCUCGCCAGUGAAAUCCUCUGGGGUCACCGCUUUGAACCAGUAGUGUUUGAGGAGAAGAACCACUACAAAGUGGAUUAUUCCCGCUUUCACAAGACCUAUGAGGUAGCUGGCACACCCUGCUGCUCAGCUCGGGAGCUGCAAGAAAGCAAGAUGACUAUCCUACCUUCUCCCCCACCUCCCAGUGCCUUCUGCUAUGAGAACGAGCUGGCUCUUGUCAGUCAAGACGAAGAUGAAGAUGAUGACGAAGUGGGUGUAGCGUUAGGUGGCAGCACCAAGGAAGAGGGAGGCGUCAUCCAGAUGAUGGAUUUUGGAAGCCACCUGGACCUGGAGCGGCUCCAGGCCACUUUGCCCUUGGAUACCAUCUCAUACCGCAGGGAGUCAGCCAUCUAAUCCCUCCAGCCUCCCCGUUCUACACCCAUUACCCAUCCCCUCCUUCUCCUCCUCUGUUCUGCACCCAAACGUAGCUGGAUAAGUCCCUUGCCCACCAAAAAAUGCCUCCUGUGACCACCUCUCAGCACCUGAGUACGUCGAGGCCUGGAGAUACUCUGAUAUAUUCCCUUUCCCAUGAAGUUGUACCCCCUGGAUGAGGAGUGAGAAUACACCAUUCUUCCAGACAGCGCAGCUUGCUCGAGGACCUGCCCAGGGACAAGAAAGAAGCAUGGUUGAAUUCCCACUUCUGGGGAGGUGACAGGAGCCUGUGCCCUCAAUGGAGAGACUGUACCUGCUCAAGUGGUUCUGCGGCUGAGACAACAGCACUUUCUGUCUCUCUCAACAUGUGCAGACCCAUGGCUAUCAAUAGAAAUGGCUCUCACAAGGAGAGGAGUGAUGCAUAAGUCCUGACUCAAUGAGAAGGGACAGGAGAGUUUAGGACUCCUAGAGGGAGUGGGAGAGUCUCUGGAGAUAGGGGUUUGCUUGCAUGUUUAUUGCUUGUUGCACUUGACUUUCUUUGUAUAUAAAAAAGAUCGAGAACUGAAAUCCAUAUUCUUCCACUGUAAAUGCCAAGCUGGGAGAGAAGGACACUGCACGUAGCCCGCUCUGCACUCUCCUUGUGGCACCCAUCACCUCCAGCAGCAGCUCAGCCCCACAGCCCCACAGACUCAGCCCUGGUUCCCCUACUCCUCCCCAGACCACGUUCUGCUUCUUUCCUGGAGCGCCUGGCAGCAGGCAGGGCCCUGUGCUCACACACCCAGCCACCGUGCCAGGGCUGGCAGGCAGUGACCUGAUGGGACAGCAGGCCCCUCACUUGCUCCUUCCACCUCCUCCAGUCUUCUCCCUGCUGCCAUCAGCUGUAAAACGGAAUUUGUAUCUAUUUAUUUUUAAUAAAGUCUAAUAUCCCAGGGGGAGGUUUGGAAACAAAGGAGACCCCGAGGCUGCAGCCUGGUACAGAGACUGAUGAGUGUUAUUAGCGCUGGUGUUUGCUGUUUGUAUGGGUUUGAUGCCUGGAGGCUUCACCUUUGGUACUUCAGAGCCAGAGCUAGAUUUAACACCACUUCUCUGCUGUUUCACAGAAGACAGCAAACCUUGCUUUCAGAGCUGGGUGCCUGUCGCUGGUCAUGGCAGUGGAAACAAACUAAUGGACCGAGAGGGAAGGACUCUGCAUGUGAGGAUGUGAGGACACGGGCACCCAGAACACAGACUGAGCUGGUGGCCCCAAAGAAGGGAGCGUGGCUGGACACUGGACACCCCUCACCAAGGUGCAGCACCCUUUAGAGGUGAGUGGGGAUUAUGUACCAUGACUCUAGUUCCUAAGAGUCUGGUCUGUGAGGAGAUGCACUCCGUGAGGACAUCUAGGGGGGAUUUCUCCCACUUUGGCAAUGCACAAAGGUAUGUGUAUCCUUCAGUGCACGUGCUUCUGCACCUGCAUGCUCCAAUCACAAAGUACUCAUGACUGAAUAUCCACUGAACGUACCUACAUACAUAUGUCAUAUAUGCAGGCAUAAGCCAUCCUACACCACUCAAUAAACCAUAAACACUCAGUGAUGUGCACACAAACUUUGUGCACCAGCAGCACUCAUCUCAACAAGUGUAUGUACAAUUGGAUGUUGGGGACUCCUUUAUGUGACCCAAGAAAAAUCACCAAGAGAGAAGGUUGAAUAUUAGGAACAAUUUCUUCUCAGAAGAAGUGGUGCUGCAGUGGCACAGGCUGCCCAGGGAGGUGGUGCAGUCACCAUCCCUGGAGGUGUUCCAGAGCCGUGUGGAUGUGGCA